CGCGAAGAACCUUACCUGGUCUUGACAUCCACGGAAGUUUUCAGAGAUGAGAAUGUGCCUUCGGGAACCGUGAGACAGGUGCUGCAUGGCUGUCGUCAGCUCGUGUUGUGAAAUGUUGGGUUAAGUCCCGCAACGAGCGCAACCCUUAUCCUUUGUUGCCAGCGGUCCGGCCGGGAACUCAAAGGAGACUGCCAGUGAUAAACUGGAGGAAGGUGGGGAUGACGUCAAGUCAUCAUGGCCCUUACGACCAGGGCUACACACGUGCUACAAUGGCGCAUACAAAGAGAA
rnacentral:rRNA from 1 species